CUCUGCUCCACACGGUCUCGUUGGGGCACAGACGCGUUUGGUUGGACCACUGCGCACUCUCUGUUGAGAGUGAGAUGGGAGGAAGAUAUAAGGAAAAACAGUCGGGGAGUCACAGGUCCUGGAAGGGCGGCGGUGAUUGCUCCAGAGAAGCCUGGCAGGUUGAGCGGGGAAUGAACUGCUCCCGCUCCUGGAACCUCACUGACACAGUAAGGAGGUGUCAUGCCCCCGUCCCAAGAAUGGCGGAGUGCGUGAAAUACAGACAUGAACAGCAGAAAGCACCAGCUAACGGGGAGGGAACCCCGCAGUCCUUCGCAAGAACUGUGAAGACCUCUCUGGCAAGAUACCC
rnacentral:lncRNA from 1 species